UGUAGCCUCACCUAUUGGUUUGUUUCUGUUAAAUCUGUGGACCAAUCGGAGCAUGUUAUGAUUUCGUGGUUGCUCAUUGGUUGGUGCUACACAAAUCUACAAACCAAUCGGAGCCGGGUUUGUAGGAUAUAAGAAUCCUAGUGGUGUAGCACCUGGAAACGUUGUCAUUUACGUCAUGCCCUGUAUGGAAGCGCUCUUUGUGAAUGAGCGGAGGGCGGCUGCGCGUCAUUCAUUACCCUUGGCUUUGCGUGUUGUGAACGAGCGGAUCGGCUUUUAGCUGGUUCCCAGAUGGCUGUAUGUUGCAGUAUUCGCAGCAGCUACAGAUAAAUGUAAGUUCCGUUUCGGAUGAGACUACAUUGCUGCUUUGCCUGGAGUUUGUUUCUUUUGUGUGUGUGGGGAUUCGUCUAGUGGCACAUCCUCACCCUUUAUUGGACUGCAUCCCUUCAGGGGCUCGGGCUGGGAGGCGUAUAAUCUGGAUUCAGCCCUGCCUACAACGUUUAUUGGCAUGCAGGAGUGGUUGUCGGUGUGACGUAUCGACCAGUGUUAUUUUUUUUUGUUAAUGUUUUGAUUUGUUUAAUUUAGUGUUGUAUUUAUUCACUUCUAUAAAGUGGGAGCUUGCGCCGGAAUGUGUGUAGUUUACACUAUUUGCUGUGAGAAUUUUUGUGGUGUUUUCACGAGUGUAUUUUUAUAUAGUGUGGGGUGACCUCUUGACUUUCUGAAGGCAAGCUCCCCUUAUUGAUGUGAUUUUUGUAUUUCUUUGUUUACUGUCAUACAUGUUUUCUAUUUAUUAUAAUAAACAAAUUAUAUUUUUCAUAAUUCAUUGUUUGUAUCUUUCUCACCCCACCCACGACUAUUGGACCUGUGUGUCUUAGUUAAGAUUUCUCGGGUUUCCCGGGUGGCGUAGUCGGAACCUUGGUAUCUCAAAAUUGGUA